rnacentral:rRNA from 1 species
AGAGUUUGAUCCUGGCUCAGGACGAACGCUGGCGGCGUGCAUAACACAUGCAAGUCGAGCGAGGACAUUUAGCAAUAGAUGUUCGAGCGGCGGACGGGUGAGUAACGCGUGAGCAAUCUGUCCCAGAAUGGGGGAUAACAGAUGGAAACAUCUGCUAAUACCGCAUAAGACCACGAGGUCACAUGGCCUUGAGGUAAAAGGAGCAAUCCGAUCUGGGGUGAGCUCGCGUCCGAUUAGCCAGUUGGCGGGGUAACGGCCCACCAAAGCGACGAUCGGUAGCCGGCCUGAGAGGGCGAUCGGCCACACUGGAACUGAGAGACGGUCCAGACUCCUACGGGAGGCAGCAGUGGGGAAUAUUGGGCAAUGGGGGAAACCCUGACCCAGCAACGCCGCGUGAGGGAAGAAGGUUUUCGGAUUGUAAACCUCUGUCCUUGGUGACGAACACAAUGACGGUAGCCAAGGAGGAAGCCCCGGCUAACUACGUGCCAGCAGCCGCGGUAAUACGUAGGGGGCAAGCGUUGUCCGGAAUGACUGGGCGUAAAGGGCGUGUAGGCGGCCGAUUAAGUCUGGAGUGAAAGUCCUGCUUUCAAGGUGGGAAUUGCUUUGGAGACUGGUUGGCUUGAGUGCGGAAGAGGCAAGUGGAAUUCCCAGUGUAGCGGUGAAAUGCGUAGAGAUUGGGAGGAACACCAGUGGCGAAGGCGACUUGCUGGGCCGUAACUGACGCUGAGGCGCGAAAGCGUGGGGAGCGAACAGGAUUAGAUACCCUGGUAGUCCACGCUGUAAACGAUGAAUGCUAGGUGUAGCGGGUAUCGACCCCUGCUGUGCCGCAGUAAACACAAUAAGCAUUCCGCCUGGGGAGUACGGCCGCAAGGUUGAAACUCAAAUGAAUUGACGG